UUCCGUACACAGCCCUGGAAUUUACGUAAGUCUAAUCAAUAGGCUAAAUUAUGAUCACAAAACUGAUAGGAAAAUUUUAUCUUCAGGCAAUCAUUUUUCAGCGCUAUCUGUUGUUAACUUGCUAAACUGGGAUUCACUGAAAUUUACAGCUGAUGUCUCGUCCAUUCAAGUAGGCAUUAUCUUUUCAUUUUCAAAAGUAAGCUCUGGCUCGGGCUUGCUGCCUCCUUCCAGGUAACGUGAGGACGCGGGCUUGCUCCCACCUGCGGGUGUACCAGCGCCCAGGCGCGCGCCCCGCGUCCUCCCUCCACCCGUCCCAGGGCCGACUGGCACCUCGUGCGAACAGAGCCCAAACACAAAAACUUUCCGGUCGCAAACUCUACUCCUCUGGCCUGGGUCAAAAGCGCCCAGCCACUGGGAACCACACUGGCUUUUGUUCCAGGGUCGCCCAGCCGGCGAGAACUGUGCAUGACCAGGCAGAAACAUUGAAGCUUCGCAGCAGUUGUCUGUCAUCCCUAUCCAUGUGGAAAGAAAAAGGCAAAUGAGUGACUUGUUUUUAAAACCCAGAUGGUGGGAGUGGCAGCCACAAGAUCCACGAUCAAGAAAUGAGGAAAGAAAGGACUGUAGAGCUAUGUAAUGGCAAGAAGGGAAGAGUCUUUGAGAAGCCAGCCUGUAUGGUACUCUACUGUGACAUACUGUGAGAUAAGAAACUCCAUCCUAAUUGUGCAGGGCCAUUAGAAGAAAGAAGCAGGAAGUAAACAAGACUUGGGUCUUAAGCAACAUAGGCCAGUAACCCUGAAUUAGAGAUGUUAAUCAGCCUCAGGGACUCUAGAAGAAAUAGAGACCUUCAUCCUGGCUACUUCUGACUCUCAUGAUAUAUUCCUGCAAGAUUGUCAGCUUUCUUGGUUACCAUCCUAAAGAACUCCUUGAAAAUCAUAGAGAAAUCUGAAUUCUAGGGAAGCAAUUUUGGUUCUUUCUCACUACCAGGCACUGAUGGCAUGAUAGCAAUGAUAACACUUUGUCUUUUAUGUGAGCCUGCUACAAAGCAAAACUUUUGGAUGGAAGCUGUAGACACAUCAUGGAUACAGUUGCCCUUGAAUGGCGAAACAUCUGAGAUGCCACAGCAGUGAUGAGAAAGAAAUUACUAUGGCUGCUUCCCCGACUAUAAUGAUAUCUUUCCACACGCCAAAGAGAGAAGGACUUGAUGAAUAAGUAGCCACACCAGGCUGUCCUGCAGCCCUAGCUCAAAGCCAAAGUGGGCAGUUCUGAGGCAUUGACCGAGGUUCCCUUUCCUUUAGGCCAGCUCUCUGUCAUCCUCCCAUGCCCAUCUGAUAGGGUCUAGAGUCCCAGUGACAAGAAAGAGAUCUUUGUGUAGAAAUUCCAGCAUAUGUGCCACUUCUGCUUCCCUAUUACUAUGGAUCCAUAGAACUGCCUUCAUAAUUGUACCCUAGAAUAGAAACCCUCUGCUGCUCACAUACGAGUAAGCAAACCAUCCUUCCCAAGUGGGGCUCAGGCAUUCCUGAAUUACUAGCAGCCAUGGGAUGUGCCCCCAGCUGCCUAGCAAUAGCUAUCAUUUCAUUAAUUCCACAAAUGUAUUUAUGGCCUUCUGUGUGCCAGGCUCCAUGAUAGUCGCUGGUGAAAUAGCCUAACGGUAUAUAGAACAUGGUUCCAACUGCAGUGACAGCCAACUAGGAUCAGGGUGGUAGAAGCUGUGAUGGGACCAACAUGGAGUGGAUGAUGUGGGAACAAGUAGAAGAGUACGUGUCUAAGAAUUAUUUUCCAAAAAAUCCACCAGUAGUUCCCUGUCACAGGGACUGUGAGUAUGAAAGGGUGUGAUGAGAAAUGAGGCAAGGCCAGGCAGAUAAGCAGGAGCCAGAUUGUUCAAGGCCAUCCAGAAGUUUACACCAUAGCCUUGGAACAAUGGCUGCCAUCAAAAGGAUUUAAGCCGGUUCGUACUUUUUACACUGUCAGUGCAGCGGGUGUAUUAAUAUUGUGUUUUUGAAAGUGUGUUCUGAAAAACCUAGUUCCGUAAGCUGCCUCACUAGAAAGGCUUCUGAGCCAAGGAAGUUUUGGAGAUGAUCUCCCCUGCCUCUCUCCCCAAAGAGUUAUUACCACACCGAAGGUCACAAGAAAUCUUGCAGUGAAGCGUGUUUCACUUUGUUUAACCUAGCACUGCCAAAAUCCUGUUAUGUCCCGCAAAACAGAGCACACUAUAGAAAGCUCUGUGUAGGAGAGAGUAAAAAUUGAAGGUGGUUCUAAAUCCACUUAAAUUCACAACAAUUGCCUGGGCACGUAGCCUGCAUCAAAGACCACACUGCCCUUACCAUCUGCUCUACCAGAGUCACCAGUACCCAGAGUUCAAGGCCUUCUCUAACCCCAACUGGAUGUGUUGAAUUCUGACCUUUAAGUAUUGAGGAACUAGCACCACAAAGGCAAAAAUCCAGAAGUGUGAAUUUGACUAGAUUUUUUCAGCAUUGGUACUUUGAGUAUGAUAUAUUAAUAUUUAUCUCUAUAUAGUAAAACCUCCUUAUUAGGGGAAAAGGUCAGCCUUAUUUAAUGAAAAUCUUAAUUAUGUAAUAUCUUUAAAGAUAUAGAUUUUCAUUACUUUUGAACCACGCACUCUGUCUAGCCUAACAAUACUGGCCUCUUGGAGCUAUUUUAAUGAUCUCCUUCUACCUACUAAAUCAAUUGUAUGCAGGUGACAUCUCCCAUGAACUAGGGGUGUUUGAAAAGUUUGCUUCCUUAAGUAUUUAAAUGUUCCUAGCAAGAUUCUAUUUAUGUUAUUAAUUUUCACUUUUUAUUAAGAAGGGGUUUACUAAGCCCUAGACCGUGUCAUAAAUUUUGAAAAGAAUAUG